rnacentral:rRNA from 1 species
GAUGAACGCUGGCGGCGUGCCUAAUACAUGCAAGUCGAGCGAACAGAUGAGGAGCUUGCUCCUCUGACGUUAGCGGCGGACGGGUGAGUAACACGUGGAUAACCUACCUAUAAGACUGGGAUAACUUCGGGAAACCGGAGCUAAUACCGGAUAAUAUAUUGAACCGCAUGGUUCAAUAGUGAAAGACGGUUUUGCUGUCACUUAUAGAUGGAUCCGCGCCGCAUUAGCUAGUUGGGAAGGUAACGGCUUACCAAGGCAACGAUGCGUAGCCGACCUGAGAGGGUGAUCGGCCACACUGGAACUGAGACACGGUCCAGACUCCUACGGGAGGCAGCAGUAGGGAAUCUUCCGCAACGGGCGAAAGUUUGACGGAGCAACGCCGCGUGAGUGAUGAAGGUCUUCGGAUCGUAAAACUCUGUUAUUAGGGAAGAACAAAUGUGUAAGUAACUAUGCACGUAUUGACGGUACCUAAUCAGAAAGCCACGGCUAACUACGUG